rnacentral:rRNA from 1 species
AGCCCUAAAUCUUGAUGUUUCCCAAACACAAACAUCCGCCCGAGAACUACGAGCACAAACGCUUAAAACUCUAAGGACUUGGCGGUGCCCUAAACCCACCUAGAGGAGCCUGUUCUGUAAUCGAUAACCCACGAUCCACCCGACCACUUCUUGCCAAAACAGCCUACAUACCGCCGUCCCCAGCCCACCUCCGUGAGAGCACAACAGUGAGCCCAACAGCCCCUACCCCGCUAAUAAGACAGGUCAAGGUAUAGCCCAUGAAGUGGAAGAAAUGGGCUACAUUUUCUAAAAUAGAACACCCAACGAAAAGGGGCCUGAAACCUGCCCCAAGAAGGCGGAUUUAGCAGUAAAGCGGGAUAAUCAAGCCCCCUUUAAGCCGGUCCUAGGGCA